CCUACGGGUGGCAGCAGUGAGGAAUAUUGGUCAAUGGACGAGAGUCUGAACCAGCCAAGUAGCGUGAAGGAUGAAUGCCCUAUGGGUUGUAACCUUCUUUUAUAUGGGAAUAAAUUGUUCCACGUGUGGGCUUUUGUAUGUACCAUAUGCAUAAGGAUCGGCUCCCUCCGUGCCAGCAGCCGCGGUAAUACGGAGGAUCCGAGCGUUAUCCGGAUUUAUUGGGUUUAAAGGGAGCGUAGGUGGACUGUUAAGUCAGUUGUGAAAGUGUGCGGCUCAACCGUACAAUUGCAGUUGAAACUGGCAGUCUUGAGUACAGUAGAGGUGGGCAGAAUUCGUGGUGUAGCGGUGAAAUGCUUAGAUAUCACGAAGAACUCCGAUUGCGAAGGCAGCUCACUGGACGGAAACUGACGCUGAGGCUCGAAAGUGUGGGUAGCAAACAGGAUUAGAUACCCGAGUAGUC
rnacentral:rRNA from 1 species